UACAGAGGGUGCGAACGUUGCUCGGAAUUACUGGGCGUAAAGCGCAUGUAGGCGGAUCCAUAAGUCGGGCGUGAAAUCCCCAGGCUCAACCUGGGAACUGCGCUCGAAACUGUGGGUCUCGAGUGUCGGAGAGGAUGGCGGAAUUCCUGGUGUAGAGGUGAAAUGCGUAGAGAUCGGGAGGAACACCAGUGGCGAAGGCGGCCUUCUGGACCAAUACUGACGCUCAUGCACGAAAGCGUGGGGAGCAAACAGG
rnacentral:rRNA from 1 species